rnacentral:rRNA from 1 species
UACGGAGGAUCCGAGCGUUAUCCGGAUUUAUUGGGUUUAAAGGGUGCGUAGGUGGAUUGGUAAGUCGGUGGUGAAAGUUUGCAGCUUAACUGUAAAAUUGCCGUUGAAACUGCCGGCCUUGAGUGCAAAUGAGGUAGGCGGAAUGCGUCGUGUAGCGGUGAAAUGCUUAGAUAUGACGCAGAACUCCGAUUGCGAAGGCAGCUUACUGGGAUGCAACUGACGCUGAGGCACGAAAGCGUGGGUAUCAAACAGGAUUAGAUACCCU